rnacentral:rRNA from 1 species
CGUGGGUAACCUGCCUUAUAGUGGGGGAUAGCCUUUCGAAAGGAAGAUUAAUACCGCAUGAGAUUGUAGUAUCGCAUGAUAUAGCAAUUAAAGGAGCAAUUCGCUAUAAGAUGGACCCGCGUCGCAUUAGCUAGUUGGUGAGGUAAUGGCUCACCAAGGCGACGAUGCGUAGCCGACCUGAGAGGGUGAUCGGCCACAUUGGGACUGAGACACGGCCCAGACUCCUACGGGAGGCAGCAUG